GCCCAGCAGCAUGUUUUCCACUGCAGGGAGACAAACACUCAUUCAACACACUGUUCAGCACCUGCUCUGUGCAGAACUCAGAGAGGUGAGCUAGAAAACUGCUUUAGCUCCCUCUCUCUGGCUGCCUGGUAACACGGCUUCCUCGCUUCUCAGUCACCUCCUUUCAAUUCCUGGCUUUCUCAGAAGUCUUGUCUCCUCCUAAGUUCAACUCCUCUACCCUACCACUCACACACCCCUGACCAGCAAAUGCUGCACUGUCCCUUUUUAGGCAGUUAAAAAAUAACCUUGCUGUGUGUGCUGUUUCAUUAAUUCACUGGUUGAUCUCAUUUUACCCCCACCAUGACCCACCUGUGUAGAGGAAAGAGCUAAAGGUGAGCGUGCAGUUCUACUGGUCAAAGGGGAAGUAGAAGAUGUCCAGGCUACAGAUGCUGGUCACCCGCAUUGGUUUGUUAUACGUGAUGUGACCGUUAUUGGUCACAUAUGCAGAGAGGCCUUCUGGGGUCUGAUCUACAUCCAUGCUACGGGGUAGAAGGGGAGAGAGACAGAUGCUCUGGGUUUCACAACAGCUUAAGCUUCUCUCUUAAGGGGGGGCUUCCCAAUGUUGCUUACUAUGGUCACUCUGCCAUCUUUUCAGCUCAUCACUUUCUCAUUUCUAGAAGAAAUAUCUUCUAGAAAUGAGAGACCAUUGAUGAACCAUGAUUAUGCUCCUGUCUGAAAGAAGCUUUUGGUGGCCCCACUGAAUUGGUUUGCCCUAUGCCACCCUGGCCUGCUCCUUGCAGAAGGAUCUCCACUCCAGCUUCUUUCCCUGGCCCUGGUACCCACGAUUCUACGAUGAAGAUGUCUGGGAGCCAUAGGUUCUCAGUUGUCACAGAAUGAUGUCAGCAGCUGAAGCUGUUCAUCCUGACAAAAAGAAGUCCUCAUUCAGGAUGAUUGAUGCCCAGAGAUCAGGUCCCAGUCCAGCUCUUGCCUUUGUUUCCUACAUGGUCCUGUGUGACUGUUCAGCUUUUUAGUCACAAAUCUCCAAAAAUGCAAGUUACAUGGAAAAUGUAGGGGGAGAAAAACAGCACGGGGGCCCACUGGAAAUGUGUUUUAUCUGCCUACAGGGACAGAACUCUGGACAAAUGUUCCCUGCAGAAACGUUGCUGCAGCGUUCCCUUUCCCAUCUCUCCACCCCACAGGAUGGACGUCUGACUCAUACAGCAUUUGGGGACGGAUCGCUUGUCACUGGACCCGUGCAAGUUUGGGCUGCCAGGGGGAAGAGUCCUUGUUCCCUACUAGCAGCCUAUGCAAAGAGUGCAAGAGGCAGAACUCACCACUUCCAGGAUGGCAGACAAAAUGAAGGAGAUGUUGACCUGAGCGGGAAUGCUGUAGUUGAUGACUGGACGGAAGUCCUUCUGGUUAAAUAUUGUCUGGAAGGCAGCAGGGUCCACCCCAUGCUGGUCAAAGCCUGAGCAAUUGAUGGUGAAAGUGUUUGACCUUCCUGUAGAGAGGAGAGACCUGUGAGAUGGGAAUAGGGCUUUGUGUGUCCUAAGGGAGAAGAGUACCAAGGCUGAGGCUUGAGAGCUUCUCUGCAGAGAAAGAAAUGUAGACAUGGGGUGAGGCACGUGAGCCCCUCCUUCCUGGACCAAGACUUCUGAAGGCCAAGCCCUUCCUGCCAAGGCUGGGGAGCAUGGGCUGGUCUGAUAGGCAAAUGGGGGAAGUUGAUGUGGUAAGCUGAACCAGGGCUCAGACCUCUCUUCCUGUGCUUUACUCCCAUAUAAAACCUACCCAAAUUUGUAUGCAAA